rnacentral:rRNA from 1 species
GCCUACGGGGGGCAGCAGUAGGGAAUCUUCCACAAUGGGCGAAAGCCUGAUGGAGCAACGCCGCGUGGGUGAAGAAGGUCUUCGGAUCGUAAAACCCUGUUGUUAGAGAAGAAAGUGCGUGGGAGUAACUGUUCACGUUUCGACGGUAUCUAACCAGAAAGCCACGGCUAACUACGUGCCAGUAGCCGCGGUAAUACGUAGGUGGCAAGCGUUAUCCGGAUUUAUUGGGCGUAAAGGGAACGCAGGCGGUCUUUUAAGUCUGAUGUGAAAGCCUUCGGCUUAACCGGAGUAGUGCAUUGGAAACC